rnacentral:lncRNA from 1 species
GGGCCAAAGAGAGAGAGGUGUGCAGGCAAAAAGAUUUCCUUAUUAUCCUUAUGAUUUCUCUUUCCCUCUACAAGUUCCUCAAAUUUUUCCUUUCUUUCUAUUUUUUAUGGAGUGGAGAGUAUCUUGGAGUUGAAUGGAGGGUACUUGGGAAGAAAUUGAUCGACAAAAUCUAAAUGUGAAUAUUUUAAAAUUUCAUAUUUAUUCCUUGUAAUGUAGAAUACAUUAUGAUCAAGAGUCUUACAAGAA